CUGCCGCGCUUCGGCCACAGUCUCGUUAACGGCGUCCGUCAUGUCGUACGCUGUGUUCUCUCUCUCGCACGGUUAACAGUGCUCGGUUACGCCGCCCCACCGCCACGCCUCCUCACGCUAACCGACUACUCGGCUGCGCACUCGUCUUACCAAGCAACGCGUCUUGUUCUUGGCCAGCCAGCAACCAACUUUCAUUUGUUGCAACAAUUUCAAUUGCAUGUCGGUCGGUGCCAGGCAUGCCCCAAGCAUUCGCUCCGACUUUCUGCUCCUAGUGGCAGCAGUAUCCGACGGAUGCGUAACGCGAUCAAGUGGAGCCCUUGCCCUCUCUCUAGGUGUUUAAAAACAAAGAAAUACUCGUACAACAAAUGAAUUGAAUUGAAUAUUUACUCGCUCAGGUUUUACAACAACAA